rnacentral:rRNA from 1 species
UACGUAGGGGGCAAGCGUUGUCCGGAUUUACUGGGCGUAAAGAGCGUGUAGGCGGCCAUACAGGUCCGUUGUGAAAACUGGAGGCUCAACUUCCAGACGUCGACGGAAACCGUGUGGCUAGAGUCCGGAAGAGGAGAGUGGAAUUCCUGGUGUAGCGGUGAAAUGCGCAGAUAUCAGGAAGAACACCAAUGGCGAAGGCAGCUCUCUGGGACGGUACUGACGCUGAGACGCGAAAGCUAGGGGAGCGAACAGG